UACAGAGGUCCCAAGCGUUAGGCGGAAUCACUGGGCUUAAAGCGUGUGUAGGCGGACUUCUAAGUACCUUGUGAAAUCCCACGGCUCAACCGUGGAACUGCUUGGUAUACUGGUUGUCUUGGGCCAUCUAGGGGCUAGCGGAACAAACGGUGGAGCGGUGAAAUGCGUAGAUAUCGUUUGGAACGCCAAUGGUGAAAACAGCUAGCUGGGGAUGUGCCGACGCUGAGACACGAAAGCCAGGGGAGCGAACGGG
rnacentral:rRNA from 1 species